rnacentral:tRNA from 1 species
GAGGUUGUGUCUCAGCGGUAGAGCGCUCGCCUAGCAUGUGUGAGGCCCUGGGUUUGAUCCUCAGCACCACA